rnacentral:rRNA from 1 species
AUGAAAGAAUUAACAUUGACUGGCCACAAAAUCCACGACUGUCAUGUUAUUCUAGAAGACAUCCUUCCUGUGGCACUUUUAAACUGUUAUCCCAGUAAAGAUGUCAUGAUAAUAGUUGUUGAGCUGGCUAAUUUCUUCAAGAAGCUAUGCUCCAAAGUGUUAGAUGUCUCUGAGCUUGACAAACUGCAAGAGAGUAUUGUGAAGACACUUUGUAAUAUGGAAAAAGUUUUUCUUCCAUCGUUUUUUACUGUCAUGGUACAUUUGAUGGUGCAUUUAGUUGAAGAAGCUAAACUUGGUGGCCCGGUGCAUUACAGGUGGAUGUACCCUCUAGAGAGAUCAUUUGUUUGGCUAAAGUCACUUGUGCGCAAUAGAACUUAUCCUGAAGGUUCUAUUGCUGAAGGAUAUAUUGUUGAAGAAUGCUUGACCUUUUGUUUAAGAUUUCUAGAAGGAACCACACGUUUCACGAGAACAUCUAGGAACCCUGAUCCUUCAGAUAAUACAAAGGGCAUGUACAUGUUUGAUAGUGUUGGUGAGCCAAUUGGAAAGGCUGUCACUGUAGGCCAGUUGGACGAUCAGCUUCUAGUUCAAGCACAUCGAUAUGUCUUGCGACACUGUGAUGAGCUUGAUGAUCUCCGUAGAGAAUUUGUGGAUCAAGAGAAGAGGAAGCCGGGUAACUUAAAUUUGACGGAUGAUGACAAUCAGGAUUUGAUUAGUAGACACUUUGCUGACUGGUUGGAACAAAAGAGAUUACAAGGUGGUGCUCUUCAAAUGUGA